rnacentral:tRNA from 1 species
GAGGGUAUAGCUUAAGUAGUAGAGCACAUGCCUACCAAGCAUGAUGUCCUGGAUUCAGUCCCCAGUACCUCCU